rnacentral:rRNA from 1 species
UCGCACCUACCGAUUGAAUGGUCCGGUGAAGGCUCGGAAUUGUUUUCUCAUUCUUUCAUUGGGAUGUGUUUACGAGAACUUGCCUAAACCUUAUCAUUUAGAGGAAGGUG